rnacentral:rRNA from 1 species
GACGAACGCUGGCGGCGUGCUUAACACAUGCAAGUCGAACGGAAAGGCCCUGCUUUUGUGGGGUGCUCGAGUGGCGAACGGGUGUGUAACACGUGAGUAACCUGCCCUUGACUUUGGGAUAACUUCAGGAAACUGGGGCUCAUACCCGAUAGGAGCUCCUGCUGCAUGGUGGGGGUUGGCAAGUUUCGGCGGUUGGGGAUGGACUCGCGGCUUAUCAGCUUGUUGGUGGGGUAGUGGCUUACGAAGGCUUUGACGGGUAGCCGGCCUGAGAGGGUGACCGGCGACAUUGGGACUGAGAGACGGCCCAGAAGCCUACGUGAGGCAGCAGGGGGGAAUAUUGUGCAAUGGGCGGAAGCCUGAUGCAGCAACGCCGCGUGCGGGAUGACGGCCUUCGGGUUGUAAACCGCUUUCGCCGGUGACGAAGCGUGAGUGACGGUAAUGGGUAAAGAAGCACCGGCUAACUACGUG